UACGUAGGGUGCGAGCGUUGUCCGGAAUUAUUGGGCGUAAAGGGCUCGUAGGCGGUUUGUCGCGUCGGGAGUGAAAACUCAGGGCUUAACCCUGAGCCUGCUUCCGAUACGGGCAGACUAGAGGUAUGCAGGGGAGAACGGAAUUCCUGGUGUAGCGGUGAAAUGCGCAGAUAUCAGGAGGAACACCGGUGGCGAAGGCGGUUCUCGUGGG
rnacentral:rRNA from 1 species